ensembl:lincRNA Gm37799 predicted gene, 37799
UGGCUGAGGAAGAGGCUGGCUGCUUCUUUGACACACCACAACCCCCAGGUUCGUCUGCCAGCAGCAGCAGCAGCAGCAGCAGCAGUGAGGGAAACAGGGACUCAGCUUCUUCCAGCUCCAGGGGAGCUUGCUGCUGGGCACACAGGGUUAUCUGAGGUCUCCAUCUAACUCCAUUUACCCUCUCACUGUGCUUCUCCGGCUGGGGCGAAGGAAAUCCAGUCUCUCCAGAUUUCCACAAUGCAACCAAUAUUGUUCUGGAAGAUGCCUUCCUGAGACAGAAGCAGUGCAGGUUGGCCUGAAGCCCACACUCCUCCCGCUUCUUCCUGUCAAGCGCUGAGGUUCCAGACGUGGACAAUCAUGCCCAGCUCGGGCUUUCCUUCAAGGUUGGAAAGCACAGGACCGCCUUUCUGCCCUGAUGACCAAGAAGCAGUUCCUGGGCGGCUUGGCAGUCCUGUCAUCCUCUGUGAGUGCUCCUUUCAGAAGCGUUGGCCUUGGAAGAAUGCCGUUCAGGGAACACAAACUCUUCACUUAAAUAAAACAAAACAAC